rnacentral:lncRNA from 1 species
GCGUGCCUCCAUCCCAGUGCCCCGAUGACCAUCUGGUCAGCCCUCCCAACCUCCCUUCCAGGGGGCUUACCAGCAAAGCCAUAUUCGGCUAGGAAUUUGGAAUUCACAACCUUUAUUAACCCCUGGCAAAACUUCCCGUUUGCAUGUCAAAUCACAUUGAAGCCUGAAAAUUAGCUUUUCUUACUGGUUUUUCCAAUAAGUAAUAGCAAAGCCCACUUAUCAUACUUAAACUACAGUAAAGAAAAGAGGUGGUUCUCUGCAGUGAUCGUUUAGUGUGGCCCUCAAACAUUAAAUAUCCCGAGGUCUCCUUGGUGGGUGGCAGGAUUUAAAUUCAAUCAAAUCCUGUCCUAGUGUGUGCAGUGUCUUCGGCCCUGUGGACACAGGUGAAUGAGGGACCAGCCCUGCCCUGGGCUGUUGAGAAGAGAUCAGUCCACCCAGAGUUAGACAUUGUUUUUGUAGAAAACAGGCAUUUAUUAUGUCUAGGGUUUUGUGUUUUUUUUUUUUCCUUACAGGAUAAAAGCCUUUAUACAGAAACAAAAUGGAACCUUUCAUAUAAAACCUUUUCUUUAAAGGCUGUGU